rnacentral:rRNA from 1 species
UACGUAGGGGGCUAGCGUUGUCCGGAUUUAUUGGGCGUAAAGAGCGUGUAGGCGGUCCGGUAAGUCAGCUGUGAAAGUCAAGGGCUCAACCCUUGAAUGCCGGUUGAUACUGUCGGGCUAGAGUCCGGAAGAGGCGAGUGGAAUUCCCGGUGUAGCGGUGAAAUGCGCAGAUAUCGGGAGGAACACCAAUGGCGAAGGCAGCUCGCUGGGACGGUACUGACGCUGAGACGCGAAAGCGUGGGGAGCAAACAGG